rnacentral:lncRNA from 1 species
CAAAAAGCCAUGGGAGCAUCAAAGAGGCCACAGCUGGACCUGCCUCAGGGCUCAAGGACACUUUUUGGAGGGAUGAAACUUGAAUUUGACUUUGAAGGAUAAGGGCAGAUGGACACUGCAUGGGUGCAAUGAAACUUCCACACGGAGGGCCUGAAGGUCUAUGACCUCUGUACCGAUAUAGGUGAUGAAGCGGAAACGUAGUAUGAUGGAGUGUGCAAAAUCAGCCUAAGAGGUGAACACAUUGAUGCGCUGAGAGGGUCGAGUGCGCCCUGGGUUCCAUGUGGAGAGGACACAGAAGUUCCAAGUUUG